UAGGGAAUCUUCGGCAUUGGACGGAAGUCUGACCGAGCAACGCCGCGUGAGUGAAGAAGGUUUUCGGAUCGUAAAGCUCUGUUGUAAGAGAAGAACGAGUGUGAGAGUGGAAAGUUCACACUGUGACGGUAUCUUACCAGAAAGGGACGGCUAACUACGUGCCAGCAGCCGCGGUAAUACGUANGUCCCGAGCGUUGUCCGGAUUUAUUGGGCGUAAAGCGAGCGCAGGCGGUUAGAUAAGUCUGAAGUUAAAGGCUGUGGCUUAACCAUAGUACGCUUUGGAAACUGUUUAACUUGAGUGCAAGAGGGGAGAGUGGAAUUCCAUGUGUAGCGGUGAAAUGCGUAGAUAUAUGGAGGAACACCGGUGGCGAAAGCGGCUCUCUGGCUUGUAACUGACGCUGAGGCUCGAAAGCGUGGGGAGCAAACAGGAUUAGAUACCCUGGUAGUCCACGCCGUAAACGAUGAGUGCUAGGUGUUAGACCCUUUCCCGGGGUUUAGUGCCGCAGCUAACGCAUUAAGCACUCCGCCUGGGGGAGUACGACCCGCAAGGGUUG
rnacentral:rRNA from 1 species